AGUGAACGCUGGCGGUAGGCCUAACACAUGCAAGUCGAACGGCAGCACAGUAAGCGCUUGCUCUUACGGGUGGCGAGUGACGGACGGGUGAGGCAUACAUCGGAAUCUACUAUUUCGUGGGGGAUAACGUAGGGAAACUUACGCUAAUACCGCAUACGACCUACGGGUGAAAGCAGGGGAUCUUCGGACCUUGCGCGAUUGAAUGAGCCGGUGUCGGAUUAGCUAGUUGGCGGGGUAAAGGCCCACCAAGGCAACGAUCCGUAGCUGGUCUGAGAGGAUGAUCAGCCACACUGGAACUGAGACACGGUCCAGACUCCUACGGGAGGCAGCAGUAGGGAAUAUUGGACAAUGGGCGAAAGCCUGAUCCAGCCAUACCGCGUGGGUGAAGAAGGCCUUCGGGUUGUAAAGCCCUGUUGUUAGGGAAGAAAAGCAGCAGGUUAAUACCCCGCUGUUCUGACGGUACCCAAAGAAUAAGCACCGGCUAACUUCGUG
rnacentral:rRNA from 1 species